GGGCCUGGGUGGGGCGGGGUCUGGACGGGGCGGGGUCAGGUGAGGAAAUUGAGGCUCGAUAGCGCGCCUGCCAAAGCAAGCUCUGCGGGGAUGGGAUCUAGAAAGGCGUUCCCCUCCUUGGGAACCUCUGUUUCUCCAUCUGUAAAAUGGGCCAACUCAUUAGCACCGUGCCUCGCUUAUGCUGCGUUUACAGACCAGGCUGAUGCAGCUUAUGCCCCGCCCCCUUUUACAAAGGAGGAACCCCGUGGGGGAAAGGAUGACUAACUUGCCCGAGAUCACACGGCUCAGAAUGUUCGUCUGUGUGUUUGGAGAAGCAGUCUUGGGAGCAUGAACGCCAGAACCACUUGGCCCGAGUUCAGUUCUGACUCUGCCACUUCCUGUCGGAGCAAACUUCAGACCUCUGUGCACCCGGUUUCUUGGUCUGUAAAAUGGGAGAGCCGAAGUUGUCUUGGAAAAUGGACCUGCUCCCAGGAGCCUGCCCCUGCCCUUUCAUCUGACCGCAUCCCACCGGACUCUUGCGCUGCCUCUGCACCGCCCGCUGUCACUCACACUCCGCCCGCCCACUGGCGGCUCCAAACCCAUCUGCACAGCAGGGCCAGGACAGCCUGGCCCAGCCCCCCGGAGAUGAUGCCAUCCCAUUGCUUCCACCGGCCCAGUUACCUCUGGCAAGCAAGACCAAAAGGAAGCGAACCUGAGAGAGAGGGUGCUGCAGAUUGGACCCAGGACCUUUGCACUGAGCUGCCA